rnacentral:rRNA from 1 species
UACGUAGGAGGCAAGCGUUUGUCCGGAAAUCACUGGGCGUAAAGCGCGUGUAGGUGGAAGAGGAAGUCUGCUGUGAAAGCGCCUGGCUUAACCGGGCGAGGUCGGUGGAAACUCCUCAUCUCGGAGGUCGGUAGAGGGGGUGGAAUUCCGGGUGUAGUGGUGAAAUGCGUAGAGAUCCGGAGGAACACCUGUGGCGAAGGCGGACCCCCUGGGCCGCACCUGGACGCUGAGACGCGAAAGCGCGGGGAGGCGAACGG